AAGUCGUAACAAGGUUUCCGUAGGUGAACCUGCGGAAGGAUCAUUAACACGUAUCCAACGUUAAACAACCCUGUGAACUUUAAGUCCCCUCUUGCAGCCCAUGAGGAACAGCAAUCCCGGUAAAUCAUUGCCAAACAGUUUUGAUUCGGGACCUCUGUCCAAAAGGAGUUGCAAUCGAAGGGUGGAAGCAGUGGCAUGGCUUCCCCAAGCAGUUAGUGAAUGACAGUGUCACUGACUGUGUAAGGAUAACGCCUCACGGUUGCUAGAGGUCGAUCACCGACCGGCAGACAUGUCACAGGGUCACCACGCCCCUUAAUCACUCCCUAGGUAAAAAAAACCGAACAACUGUUAACAAUGGAUAUCUUGGUUCUC
rnacentral:misc_RNA from 1 species